rnacentral:rRNA from 1 species
GCAAGUCGAGCGGAAACGACACUAACAAUCCUCCGGGUGCGUUAAUGGGCGUCGAGCGGCGGACGGGUGAGUAAUGCCUAGGAAAUUGCCUUGAUGUGGGGGAUAACCAUUGGAAACGAUGGCUAAUACCGCAUAAUGCCUACGGGCCAAAGAGGGGGAUCUUCGGACCUCUCGCGUCAAGAUAUGCCUAGGUGGGAUUAGCUAGUUGGUGAGGUAAAGGCUCACCAAGGCAACGAUCCCUAGCUGGUCUGAGAGGAUGAUC